UACGGAGGGUGCGAGCGUUGUUCGGAAUCACUGGGCGUAAAGGGCGUGUAGGCGGUCCGCUAAGUCUGAUGUGAAAGCCCGGGGCUCACCCCCGGAAGUGCAUUGGAAACUGGCGAACUCGAGUCCCGGAAGAGGAAAGUGGAAUUCCUGGUGUAGCGGUGAAAUGCGCAGAUAUCAGGAAGAACACCAAUGGCGAAAGCAGCUUUCUGGGACGGUACUGACGCUGAGACGCGAAAGCGUGGGGAGCGAACAGG
rnacentral:rRNA from 1 species